UACGUAGGGGGCAAGCGUUGUCCGGAUUUAUUGGGCGUAAAGAGCGUGUCGGCGGUUUGGUAGGUCCGCUGUGAAAACUCGAGGCUCAACCUCGAGACGCCGGUGGAAACCAUCAGACUAGAGUCCGGAAGAGGAGAGUGGAAUUCCUGGUGUAGCGGUGAAAUGCGCAGAUAUCAGGAAGAACACCCGUGGCUAAGGCGGCUCUCUAGUACGGUACUGACGCUGAGACGCGAAAGCGUGGGGAGCGAACAGG
rnacentral:rRNA from 1 species